rnacentral:sRNA from 1 species
AUCCGCCAUCUCUCUCUGAUUGAAUUGACUGCCUUUUUUGAUGCCUUUGGAAUUCAACUGAAAAGAAACAAAACAGAGAAAGUAAAAGGACGAGACAAUGGGAUUUUUGGAGUCCCACUUACAGUCCUCCUGGACAGUGACCGAAAGAAAGACCCUGGAGUGAAAGUUCCCCUGGUGUUACAAAAAUUUUUUGAGAAAGUUGAGGAAUCAGGUCUGGAAUCUGAAGGAAUUUUUCGACUUUCGGGAUGUACUGCUAAAGUCAAGCAAUACCGUGAAGAACUUGAUGCCAAGUUUAAUGCUGAUAAAUUUAAAUGGGACAAAAUGUGCCAUAGAGAAGCUGCAGUAAUGUUGAAAGCAUUUUUCAGAGAACUACCCACCUCUCUCUUCCCUGUGGAAUAUAUACCUGCCUUCAUCAGUCUAAUGGAAAGUAGGUGGAAGACGUUGAGAGCAGAA